rnacentral:rRNA from 1 species
UUGCCCUAGUAACGGCGAGUGAAGCGGCAACAGCUCAAAUUUGAAAUCUGGCGUCUUUGGCGUCCGAGUUGUAAUUUGCAGAGGGCGCUUUGGCAUUGGCAGCGGUCCAAGUUCCUUGGAACAGGACGUCACAGAGGGUGAGAAUCCCGUACGUGGUCGCUAGCCUUUACCGUGUAAAGCCCCUUCGACGAGUCGAGUUGUUUGGGAAUGCAGCUCUAAAUGGGAGGUAAAUUUCUUCUAAAGCUAAAUACUGGCCAGAGACCGAUAGCGCACAAGUAGAGUGAUCGAAAGAUGAAAAGCACUUUGGAAAGAGAGUUAAAAAGCACGUGAAAUUGUUGAAAGGGAAGCGCUUGCAGCCAGACUUGCCUGUAGUUGCUCAUCCGGGUUUCUACCCGGUGCACUCUUCUAUAGGCAGGCCAGCAUCAGUUUGGGCGGUUGGAUAAAGGUCUCUGUCAUGUACCUCCUUUCGGGGAGAACUUAUAGGGGAGACGACAUGCAACCAGCCCGGACUGAGGUCCGCGCAUCUGCUAGGAUGCUGGCGUAAUGGCUGUAAGCGGCCCGUCUUGAAACACGGACCAAGGAGUCUAACAUCUAUGCGAGUGUUUGGGUGUCAAGCCCGAGCGCGUAAUGAAAGUGAACGGAGGUGGGAACCUUUCGGGGUGCACCAUCGACCGAUCCUGAUGUCUUCGGAUGGAUUUGAGUAAGAGCAUAGCUGUUGGGACCCGAAAGAUGGUGAACUAUGCUUGAAUAGGGUGAAGCCAGAGGAAACUCUGGUGGAGGCUCGCAGCGGUUCUGACGUGCAAAUCGAUCGUCAAAUUUGGGCAUAGGGGCGAAAGACUAAUCGAACUAUCUAGUAGCUGGUCUGCAG